rnacentral:rRNA from 2 species
UUUUAUGGAGAGUUUGAUCCUGGCUCAGGAUGAACGCUGGCGGCGUGCCUAAUACAUGCAAGUCGAGCGAACAGACGAGGAGCUUGCUCCUCUGACGUUAGCGGCGGACGGGUGAGUAACACGUGGAUAACCUACCUAUAAGACUGGGAUAACUUCGGGAAACCGGAGCUAAUACCGGAUAAUAUAUUGAACCGCAUGGUUCAAUAGUGAAAGACGGUUUUGCUGUCACUUAUAGAUGGAUCCGCGCCGCAUUAGCUAGUUGGUAAGGUAACGGCUUACCAAGGCAACGAUGCGUAGCCGACCUGAGAGGGUGAUCGGCCACACUGGAACUGAGACACGGUCCAGACUCCUACGGGA